ACGCAAUACAAUACAACUUUCAGCAACGGAUCUCUUGGCUCUCGCAUCGAUGAAGAACGCAGCGAAAUGCGAUAAGUAAUGUGAAUUGCAGAAUUCAGUGAAUCAUCGAAUCUUUGAACGCACCUUGCGCCCCUUGGCCAUUCCGAGGGGCAUGCCUGUUUGAGUAUCAUGAACACCUCAACUCUCACAGCUUGCUGUGAUGAGCUUGGAAUUUUGGAGGUUUUGCUGGCCUGUGGNCGGCUCCUCUCAAAUUGAUCAGCUUGCCAGUGUUUGGUGGCGACACGGGUGUGAUAAAUAUCUACGCUUGUGGUCGUCUGCCANGUGACCUUCGGCGAUGGAGGUUUGCUGGAGCUUAUAAACGUCUCUCCUCAGCGAAGACAGCUUCUUGAACGUUCGAUCUCAAAUCAGGNAGGANUACCNCGCUGANCUUAAGCAUAUCAAU
rnacentral:rRNA from 1 species